CUACGGGACGCUGCAGUGAGGAAUAUUGCACAAUGGAGGAAACUCUGAUGCAGCAACGCCGCGUGGAGGAUGACGCAUUUCGGUGUGUAAACUCCUUUUAUAUGUCAAGAAAAUGACGGUAGUAUAUGAAUAAGCACCGGCUAACUCCGUGCCAGCAGCCGCGGUAAUACGGAGGGUGCAAGCGUUACUCGGAAUCACUGGGCGUAAAGGACGCGUAGGCGGGUUGGAAAGUCAGGUGUGAAAUCCUACAGCUUAACUGUAGAACUGCACUUGAAACUUCUAAUCUAGAGUAUGGGAGGGGGAGAUGGAAUUAGUGGUGUAGGGGUAAAAUCCGUAGAUAUCACUAGGAAUACCUAAAGCGAAGGCGAUCUCCUGGAACAUUACUGACGCUAAGGCGUGAAAGCAUGGGGAGCAAACAGGAUUAGAUACCCGAGUAGUC
rnacentral:rRNA from 1 species